rnacentral:rRNA from 1 species
CCCAAGGCGAUCGGGUGAACUGUGGUUAAGGAACUCGGCAAAUUGCCCCCGUAACUUCGGGAGAAGGGGGACCUCUGUUGGUGAUGGGCUUUACGCCUUGAGCUGGUGGGGGUCGCAGUGGCCAGGGGGAAGCGACUGUUUACUAAAAACACAGGUCCAUGCGAAGUCGUAAGACGAUGUAUACGGACUGACGCCUGCCCGGUGCCGGAACGUUAAGGGGACUGCUUAGUCAACGCGAGUUGGCGAAGGUGAGAACUUAAGCGCCGGUAAACGGCGGUGGUAACUAUAACCAUCCUAAGGUAGCGAAAUUCCUUGUCGGGUAAGUUCCGACCUGCACGAAUGGCGUAACGACUUCCCCGCUGUCUCAACCGCAGACCCGGCGAAAUUGCACUACGAGUAAAGAUGCUCGUUUCGCGCAGCAGGACGGAAAGACCCCGGGACCUUCACUACAGCUUGACAUUGGCGUUUGGAACGUCUUGUGUAGGAUAGGUGGGAGACUGGGAAGCUGUCACGCUAGUGAUGGUGGAGUCAUUGGUGAAAUACCACUCUGGUCGUUUUGAACGUCUAACUCUGGUCCGUGAUCCGGAUCGGGGACAGUGUCUGGUGGGUAGUUUAACUGGGGCGGUUGCCUCCUAAAGAGUAACGGAGGCGCCCAAAGGUUCCCUCAGCCUGGUUGGCAAUCAGGUGUUGAGUGUAAGUGCACAAGGGAGCUUGACUGUGAGACUGACAGGUCGAGCAGGAGCGAAAGCUGGGACUAGUGAUCCGGCAUCGGCGUGUGGAAGCGGUGUCGCUCAACGGCUAAAAGGUACCCCGGGGAUAACAGGCUGAUCUUCCCCAAGAGUCCAUAUCGACGGGAUGGUUUGGCACCUCGAUGUCGGCUCGUCGCAUCCUGGGGCUGGAGUAGGUCCCAAGGGUUGGGCUGUUCGCCCAUUAAAGCGGUACGCGAGCUGGGUUUAGAACGUCGCGAGACAGUUCGGUCCCUAUCCGCUGCGCGCGCAGGAGACUUGAAGGGGGCUGUCCCUAGUACGAGAGGACCGGGACGGACGAACCUCUGGUGUGCCAGUUGUACCGCCAGGUGCACGGCUGGUUGGCUACGUUCGGAAGGGAUAACCGCUGAAAGCAUCUAAGCGGGAAGCUCGCCUUGAGAUGAGGUCUCCCACCCCGUGAGGGGGUAAGGCUCCCGGUAGACGACCGGGUUGAUAGGCCGGAGGUGGAAGCACGGUAACGUGUGGAGCUGACCGGUACUAAUAGGCCGAGGACUUGAUCAA